rnacentral:sRNA from 1 species
AAAGCCCUGCGAUGUUCGUGACAUCCGAUAGUUUUGAGCCACAAAGUUUGUUCAGGGAGUUUUUCGUCCGCAAUUGUAAAGGCAUGCCUCCGUCGAGUGGACGUCUGUAACAGUUGGGCAAGACACCCACCUG